UAAGACCCACAUAACACAUAAUCACCCAUUCGGCUCUCUCCAUCAACGCCAUACUCACAAAGCACUUCCUCACAAACCCACUUGAGAUCAAGGAAAAUAAGGUGCUUUCCCUACACAAAUAUAGCACCAUUAUCGAUUUUCAUCAGUAAAGGGAGGACGCUGGUGUGGUUUUGGCAGCUGGUUAGAAGAGGCAAUGCAAGCACCGAACAAAAUCCGACAAGGAAUCGCCAAGGGGUAGAAAUUGGUGUAAGCAUGUUCAAGCCUGCUAGCUAUAGUAUUAAGCCAUUUGGAGAAAUCUAGAGAUGCUCUUCCAUCAUAUUUGUUUUUUAUUUGCUUCUUCCAAUCCUUGUCUCAAAACUCCUAAAAAAUUCAGAAUCCUCUGUCAUGGGGUGUUGGUCUGUGACUGGGUAAGGGAGUGCCCUUUGUGCAUGAAUUUUCAUUUUCAAAAAAAAAUGAUAGAAAUGAGAAUAAAGCUAUUGAAUACUUGGACUUUGCUACUGUUGGUACAAAUUUUAGUCUAUGAAUGUGAGUUGUUCAUGAAGAUCCAAGAGAAUUUUGAGAUGAUUUAAAUUAA